UGGGGGAGCUUACACAUGCAAGUCGAACGAGAAAGCGCCUUCGGGCGCGAGUAAAGUGGCGGACGGGUGAGUAACGCGUAGGAACCUGCCCGGCAGAAGGGGACAACUCGAGGAAACUCGAGCUAAUACCGUAUGACAUCUCCUGUUUUCACGACUAGGGAUCAAAGGGGGCCUCUCCUUGGAAGCUUUCACUAUUGGAGGAGCCUGCGUCGGAUUAGCUAGUUGGUGGGGUAAAGGCCCACCAAGGCAACGAUCCGUAGCUGGUCUGAGAGGACGACCAGCCACACUGGAACUGAGACACGGUCCAGACUCCUACGGGAGGCAGCAGUGGGGAAUCUUGGGCAAUGGGCGCAAGCCUGACCCAGCCAUGCCGCGUGUGUGAAGAAGGCUCUAGGGUUGUAAAGCACUUUCAGUGGUGAAGAAAUGUCGUUGGUUAAUAACCCUCGGCCUUGACGUUAACCACAGAAGAAGCACCGGCUAACUCCGUGCCAGCAGCCGCGGUAAUACGGAGGGUGCGAACGUUAAUCGGAAUUACUGGGCGUAAAGCGCGCGUAGGCGGUUUGUUAAGUGGGAUGUGAAAGCCCCGGGCUCAACCUGGGAACUGCAUUCCAAACUGACAAGCUAGAGUAUGGUAGAGGAAGGUAGAAUUUCCUGUGUAGCGGUGAAAUGCGUAGAUAUAGGAAGGAAUACCAGUGGCGAAGGCGGCCACCUGGACUGAUACUGACGCUGAGGUGCGAAAGCGUGGGGAGCGAACAGGAUUAGAUACCCUGGUAGUCCACGCCGUAAACGAUGUCAACUAGCCGUUGGACCCCUUGAGGGUUUGGUGGCGGUGCUAACGCAAUAAGUUGACCGCCUGGGGAGUGCGGCCGCAAGGUUAAAACUCAAAUGAAUUGACGGGGGCCCGCACAAGCGGUGGAGCAUGUGGUUUAAUUCGAUGCAACGCGAAGAACCUUACCAGGUCUUGACAUCCUGCGAACUUACUAGAGAUAGUUUGGUGCCUUCGGGAGCGCAGUGACAGGUGCGCAUGGCUGUCGUCAGCUCGUGUCGUGAGAUGUUGGGUUAAGUCCCGUAACGAGCGCAACCCUUGUCCUUAUUUGCCAGCGGAUUAUGCCGGGAACUCUAAGGAGACUGCCGGUGACAAACCGGAGGAAGGUGGGGAUGACGUCAAGUCAUCAUGGCCCUCACGGGGUGGGCUACAAACGUGCUACAAUGGGCGGUACAAAGGGCUGCAAACCAGCGAUGGUAAGCGAAUCCCAAAAAACUGCUCGUAGUCCGGAUAGGAGUCUGCAACUCGACUCCUUGAAGUCGGAAUCGCUAGUAAUCGCGAAUCAGAAUGUCGCGGUGAAUACGUUCCCGGGCCUUGUACACACCGCCCGUCACGUCAUGGGAGUGGGUUGCACCAGAAGUAGCUAGUCUAACUUUCUUUCGGGAGGAGAGGACGGUACCACCGGGGGGCCC
rnacentral:rRNA from 1 species